CCUACGGGUGGCAGCAGUGGGGAAUAUUGGACAAUGGGGGCAACCCUGAUCCAGCCAUGCCGCGUGUGUGAAGAAGGCCCUCGGGUUGUAAAGCACUUUCAGUGAGGAAGAACGCCUGGUGGUUAAUACCCAUCAGGAAAGACAUCACUCACAGAAGAAGCACCGGCUAACUCCGUGCCAGCAGCCGCGGUAAUACGGAGGGGGCGAGCGUUAAUCGGAAUUACUGGGCGUAAAGCGCGCGUAGGUGGCUUGAUAAGCCGGUUGUGAAAGCCCCGGGCUCAACCUGGGAACGGCAUCCGGAACUGUCAAGCUAGAGUGCAGGAGAGGAAGGUAGAAUUCCCGGUGUAGCGGUGAAAUGCGUAGAGAUCGGGAGGAAUACCAGUGGCGAAGGCGGCCUUCUGGACUGACACUGACGCUGAGGUGCGAAAGCGUGGGGAGCAAACAGGAUUAGAUACCCGGGUAGUC
rnacentral:rRNA from 1 species